UAAGGCUAUCCCAGCCACUGUGCAGGUUCAUGGAAAACACAUGUGCAUGUGUAUUUUGUGCACACAUACAUGAUGAAGAGGGUUUGCUGUAGUAUGACCCAGGAUUCAUUACAAGUGAUUAUGCAAGAAUAAGCCUCAAGGCUGUUAUGUACGUAGAAUGCUUCUGGCCUUUGCAGCUUCUCCCACCUCUGUAUUUCUUCAGAAAGAGGAGAAAAAGCCAGAUUAGAUGAUGAGGGUCAGCGGAGGACAUCAGCACACAGCUGAAAACAUCCCCAAGCCUACACUCUCUUUUACUACAAUUCCAGCCAGAUAUGUGUGCUUUCCUGUUACAGAUCCUGUUAACCAGCUGCAGGCUGGGAGAUGAGGAGGUCGCACUCCUCGUGGCUGGGAGGAGGCCUGGCAGCGAGGGCUCUGCUUGCUGCCCCAACCCACAGCUUAGCAGGGCAGGAGGUGCUCACAGUUUAGCCUCUGAGUUCCCUCAAAGCCAGCGCCAAGGUGAAGCCAGGAGCAGAUCUGGGCUGCCAUCCAGGGGUCCGGGUGCUGGUGACACACACAUACACUUUCUCCAUUCCCCGGCCAAGUCAUGUUUGAGGGAGUUGAGAAGUGGGACAGGCAGGCUGGUUUCCUUGGAAAUGCUUUUGCUAUAAUUAAACCCAGCGGGGGGGGGGUGCGGUGUGGUGUAGAAGUGAAGGAUCCCCCCCCACCACUUCUGAUCGACGGAAAAAAUAAUCUAUUUGCACCUGGGGCUGGAAUAUGGAGGAAUCCACCGGGCUCGAUCCCUGCUCCACAUGCAUGUGCCUGAGCGCGCGAGCAUGUGUUUUCUGUACACGGAGCGAUCUCUGGACGGCUCGGAUAUUGCCAAUGUCCCUCUUGUAGCGCCGCGGCUGAGAUCAUGUUGUUGAUCUUGUUUUACAGCAGCCCUGACUGUUGUGCAGAGUACAGAAUGUUCCCUCCCGUGAACUGAGGUUGAACUUCUCCAGCCCACUUUGUUUCAGGAACCACGCAGAUACGGCUGGGG